rnacentral:rRNA from 1 species
UAAGACGAACCGUGCAAACGUUGUUCGGAAUCACUGGGCUUAAAGGGCGCGUAGGCGGCUGACCAAGUCCGGGGUGAAAUCCUGCAGCUUAACUGUAGAAGUGCCUUGGAUACUGGUUGGCUCGAGGGAGGUAGGGGUCUGCGGAACUUCUGGUGGAGCGGUGAAAUGCGUUGAUAUCAGAAGGAACGCCGGUGGCGAAAGCGGCGGACUGGACCUCAUCUGACGCUGAUGCGCGAAAGCCAGGGGAGCAAACGGGAUUAGAUACCCCGGUAGUCCUGGCCCUAAACGAUGGGCACUAGGUUGUGGACUAACAUGGGUUCACAGCCGACGCAAAAGUAUUAAGUGCCCCGCCUGGGGAGUAUGGUCGCAAGGCUG